rnacentral:rRNA from 1 species
UACGAAGGGGGGCUAGCGUUGCUCGGAAUCACUGGGCGUAAAGGGGUGCGUAGGCGGAUUUCUAAGUCAGGGGGUGAAAGCCUGAGGCUCAACCUCAGAAUUGCCUUUGAUACUGGAAGUCUUGAGACCGGAAGAGGUAAGUGGAACUGCGAGUGUAGAGGUGAAAUUCGUAGAUAUUCGCAAGAACACCGGUGGCGAAGGCGGGUCUCUGGGGCCGAUAUUGACGCUGAGGAGCGAAAAGCGUGGGUAGCAAACAGG